rnacentral:rRNA from 1 species
CCUACGGGCGGCAGCAGUGAGGAAUAUUGGUCAAUGGGCGGAAGCCUGAACCAGCCAAGUAGCGUGCAGGAUGACGGCCCUACGGGUUGUAAACUUCUUUUAUACGGGAAUAAAGUGCCCUACGUGUAGGGCUUUGCAUGUACCGUAUGAAUAAGGAUCGGCUAAUUCCGUGCCAGCAGCCGCGGUAAUACGGAAGGUCCGGGCGUUAUCCGGAUUUAUUGGGUUUAAAGGGAGCGUAGGCCGCAUGAUAAGCGUGCUGUGAAAUGUCCGGGCUCAACCCGUGCCGUGCGGGGGAAACUGGCGGACUUGAGUCCGCGGAGGGCAGACGGAAUUCGUGGUGUAGCGGUGAAAUGCUUAGAUAUGACGAAGAACCCCGAUUGCGAAGGCAGUUUGCCGGAGCGAAACUGACGCUGAGGCUCGAAAGCGCGGGUAUCGAACAGGAUUAGAUACCCCAGUAGUC